rnacentral:rRNA from 1 species
UGGGGAAUAUUGGACAAUGGGGGAAACCCUGAUCCAGCGACGCCGCGUGAGUGAAGAAGUAUUUCGGUAUGUAAAGCUCUAUCAGCAGGGAAGAAAAUGACGGUACCUGACUAAGAAGCCCCGGCUAACUACGUGCCAGCAGCCGCGGUAAUACGUAGGGGGCAAGCGUUAUCCGGAUUUACUGGGUGUAAAGGGAGCGCAGACGGCAAUGCAAGUCUGAAGUGAAAGGCGUGGGCUCAACCCAUGAACUGCUUUGGAAACUGUAUAGCUUGAGUGUCGGAGGGGUAGGCGGAAUUCCUAGUGUAGCGGUGAAAUGCGUAGAUAUUAGGAGGAACACCGGAGGCGAAGGCGGCUUACUGGACGACAACUGACGUUGAGGCUCGAAGGCGUGGGGAGCAAACAGGAUUAGAUACCCUGGUAGUCCACGCAGUAAACGAUGAAUACUUGGUGUCGGGGAGGUAAACUCUUCGGUGCCGCAAGCUAACGCAUUAAGUAUUCCACCUGGGGAGUACGUUCGCAAGAAUG